rnacentral:rRNA from 1 species
CAGCAGUAGCCGCGGUAAUACAGAGGGUGCGAGCGUUAAUCGGAUUUACUGGGCGUAAAGCGUGCGUAGGCGGCUUCUUAAGUCGGAUGUGAAAUCCCUGAGCUUAACUUAGGAAUUGCAUUCGAUACUGGGAAGCUAGAGUAUGGGAGAGGAUGGUAGAAUUCCAGGUGUAGCGGUGAAAUGCGUAGAGAUCUGGAGGAAUACCGAUGGCGAAGGCAGCCAUCUGGCCUAAUACUGACGCUGAGGUACGAAAGCAUGGGGAGCAAACAGGAUUAGAUACCCCAGUAGUCCCUGUCUCUUAUAU